GAUUUCUGGCGAACCGUUGCGGCCCGUGUCCUCCGGGGCGUGAGUGCCGUGUCGUGUUUGUCAUCCUUCCAGAGAGCUGCGUCUACCAUUCAUUUGGCCGGACGUACGCGAUCUGGAUCGAUUACUUUGAAAAAAUUAGAGUGUUUAAAGCAGGCUUUCGCUAUGAAUACAUUAGCAUGGAAUAAUAAUUUAGGACUUUGGUUCUAUUUUGUUGGUUUCUAGGACUGAAGUAAUGAUUGAUAGGGACAGUUGGGGGUGCUAGUAUUCCGCGGCCAGAGGUGAAAUUCUUGGAUUCGCGGAAGACUAACUACUGCGAAAGCAUU
rnacentral:rRNA from 3 species